CGGGUGUAGUUUAGUGGUAAAACUACAGCCUUCCAAGCUGUUGUCGCGAGUUCGAUUCUCGUCACCCGC
rnacentral:tRNA from 2 species